rnacentral:rRNA from 1 species
UACGGAGGGUGCAAGCGUUAUCCGGAAUCACUGGGUUUAAAGGGUGCGUAGGCGGUCUGUUAAGUCAGUUGUGAAAUUCCCUCGCUCAACGAGUGGGACUGCGAAUGAUACUGACAGACUUGAAUCAGGUUGAGGUAGGCGGAAUGAGACAUGUAGCGGUGAAAUGCAUAGAUAUGUCUUAGAACACCGAUUGCGAAGGCAGCUUGCUGGACCUGUAUUGACGCUGAGGCACGAAAGCGUGGGGAGCAAACAGG